rnacentral:rRNA from 1 species
CCCUUAGAUGUCCUGGGCUGCACGCGCGCUACACUGGAAGUUACGGAUGAGAUACUACCUUGUCCGAAAUGGUCCGGGUAAUCGCCUAAAAGCUUGUCAUAAUUGGAAUGGAUUAUUGUAACUAGUAAUCCUGAACGAGGAAUUCCUAGUAAGUCCCAGUCAACAGCUGGUACUGAUUACGUCCCUGCCCUUUGUACACACCGCCCGUCGCUACUACUGAUUGGACGUUUAAGCAAGAUUUUUAAACACUGACAGUGUGUAGUUCACGCUAUACUACAGUGAGAAGAAGAAGAUCGAGCUUACUUGUCUAGAGGAAGUAAAAGUCGUAACA